CGCUCAGAUAGAGGCGCGAGGUUCAUCAGUACCGCGAGCAGCCGGCAGGCAGCCGGCGCGGGAAAGGGGACAUCGCCGAAGGGUUUCGGAGCUGCCUGCUCCGAGAUACCUGGGCUGUCGGGGAAUACCCGUCGGACUGUCACAUUUUUUGUGAAGCGCUAUCGAUGGC
rnacentral:ncRNA from 2 species